CAGCCAAUUUCCAAAGACCCUAGACACGUCUGUGCUGGCGUCAGUUUGAAGGGGAAAAAAAACAACAACAUCCCCACAGUUCCCAUGGAAAGGAAACUCCUCAUCUCGGCUGAUCACAUACAACAGAUGAUCCUCUUGUUUUGCAUCUGAAAAAAAAAUCGUCAGAUUUACAGCCCUCCCAAAUGGAGAUAAAACCUUGGCAAUGAGUUGGAAACCUGUUGUAAUCUGUGAUCCAGGAAACAAAGAGCCUCAUUAAUGCAGAGAUUUUGUGGUGGCAACCCCACCUACCCUCUCCCCAACCUGGAAGGUGAAGAAGGAAUGCUGCUGCAGCCCCCCAGGCCUAGGGAAGGAGGGCAAAGAGCCCCAGAAGGAGCGGAGUGCAUCUCAAUUCUGACCACUGUGCUGAGAAGGAAUGUUAGAGCCCCAUGGCCCACUUGGUCUUUGACUUCUCUGUUGUGACUGCCAACAAGGAACUGAACUGAGGCUCCCAAACUCAUUUCACAUCAGCCAGCAAAAAAUCUUCGGAUGGUAAUGUCAGAUGAUGGGACAGUCGGAACUGUGACAUAUAUGGUCAAAGUCCGGUAUAAAUGCAGGGUACCAAUAAUGAACAGGAAAUGGCGCCCAAUGAUUGACCUGGAAGAUAUGGCAGGGGCUAAGGAAAAUUAUGCUGCAUACUAUGUGUUCUCGCGAAAUUAGUCCUUUCAUUAUUUAAUAAUGAUACUUUAUGGUUUGUGUACUGGCUAUGUCAUUUCCAUGACAUCCUUGUUUCGGUUGCUCAGUGACAGAUUCUGGAGGCAGCUGGAGGGAAAAUUAUGAAAUGAUCCAAUCUCCAGUGCUACAAACACACUCGUCUAGAAGCAGCUAAACGAAAAUUUUGGCCAAGAAAUGGCUCCCAGCUCUAUUUGGGAUAAGAAGAGAGGCGUAGCCUUGAAGCUUGGUGUCUGCAUCUGUUUCUAUUGAGGAAUCCUAGCCUGAUGCUCCCAUAGAAGGAAGGAGGAAAUCUCUUCUUUUUCCCUGCAUUGGGUAGGGAACACAAGGCUGGAGGACCCUGGGCAAGAGACUGUUCAGCUUGGGAGGAUGAAGGACAACUGAGACACGAAACCCUGCAGGUGAAGAAUGGUGGUAGGAUUUAUUUACUUAUUUAUUUAUCGUUUUAGGAUUGUAUUGAACUCUGUUCCAUUGGAAGGGAUGGACUCUUAUGUUUGCCCGGGGGGAUAAAUUAAGGGACUCUGCCAGGAGAGUUGGGAACUGCAUUGUCUACCUGCUAAGGGGAGACAGACAUCAGGAGCGAAACUGAGGCCCAGAAGAGGGUAACCAAGGCGUGGUUGUGAUUGGGAGAGGUAAACUGAUCCUGUUACAGUGCUCUAAUUGGAUGAGCUUGAAAGUACUUUCCUUCUGGAGUGAAUACUAACGUCCACUUCAAAACUUGUUUUUGUGUGAACAUUUUUGUUAGUAAACUGGGUGGCUGAAUAGAA